AUUGAACGCUGGCGGCAUGCUUUACACAUGCAAGUCGAACGGUAACAGGGUGCUUGCACCGCUGACGAGUGGCGAACGGGUGAGUAAUGCGUCGGAACGUGCCGAGUAGUGGGGGAUAACGCAGCGAAAGUUGUGCUAAUACCGCAUACGUACUGAGGUAGAAAGUGGGGGGCCUUCGGGCCUCACGCCAUUCGAGCGGCCGACGUCUGAUUAGCUAGUAGGUGAGGUAAAGGCUCACCUAGGCGACGAUCAGUAGCGGGUCUGAGAGGAUGGUCCGCCACACUGGGACUGAGACACGGCCCAGACUCCUACGGGAGGCAGCAGUGGGGAAUUUUGGACAAUGGGCGAAAGCCUGAUCCAGCCAUGCCGCGUGUCUGAAGAAGGCCUUCGGGUUGUAAAGGACUUUUGUCAGGGAGGAAAUCCCUAGUGCUAAUAACACUGGGGGAUGACAGUACCUGAAGAAUAAGCACCGGCUAACUACGUGCCAGCCGCCGCCGUAA
rnacentral:rRNA from 1 species